GGGGCCGUAACUCAGUUGGUAGAGUGCCUGCUUUGCAAGCAGGAUGUCGUCGGUUCGAUCCCGUCCGGCUCCACCA
rnacentral:tRNA from 1 species